rnacentral:rRNA from 1 species
UACGGGAGGCAGCAGUGGGGAAUAUUGCACAAUGGGCGCAAGCCUGAUGCAGCCAUGCCGCGUGUAUGAAAAAGGCCUUCGGGUUGUAAAGUACUUUCAGUCGUGAGGAAGGUGUUAAGGUUAAUAACCUUAGCAAUUGACGUUAGCGACAGAAGAAGCACCGGCUAACUCCGUGCCAGCAGCCGCGGUAAUACGGAGGGUGCGAGCGUUAAUCGGAAUUACUGGGCGUAAAGGGCACGCAGGCGGUUAAUUAAGUUGGAUGUGAAAUCCCCGGGCUUAACCUGGGAAUGGCAUUCAAGACUGGUUAGCUAGAGUCUUGUAGAGGGGGUAGAAUUCCAUGUGUAGCGGUGAAAUGCGUAGAGAUGUGGAGGAAUACCGGUGGCGAAGGCGGCCCCUGGACAAAGACUGACGCUCAUGUGCGAAAGCGUGGGGAGCAAACGAGGGAUUUAGAUACC